GAACCUGCAGAUGGAUCAUCGC
rnacentral:rRNA from 1 species